GCUUCUGAGACCAGGAAGAGAGUCUCUGUUUUUAGGUGCCAACUUCAGUCUUCAGUGAAGGGGGAGGAGGAGAGAAUGAAAUCCCUGAGUGUUUCACUAGUGGUCCUGUGGCUCCAGUUAAACUGUGUGAGCAGCCAGCAGAAGGUGCAGCAGAGCCCAGAAUCCCUCACUGUCACAGAAGGAGCCAUAGCCUCUCUCAACUGCACUUUCAGUGAUAGUGCUUUUCAGUAUUUUGCAUGGUACAGACAGCAUUCUGGCAAAGGCCCCAAGGCACUGAUAUCCACAUUAUCUGAUGGCAACAAGGAAGAAGGCAGAUUCACAAUUCACCUCAAUAAAGCCAGUCUUCAUGGUUCCCUGCAUAUCAGAGACUCCCAGCCUGGUGACUCCGCUCUCUACUUCUGUGCAGUGAGUGCACAGUGCUCCUGAGGCACCUGCAGCCUGCACUCAAACCUACUGUGCAGCAUCAAGCCCUGACAUAGAUCACAGACCACAGAGUGGAGACAUUCUGUUUCUGUUCUAU